rnacentral:rRNA from 1 species
GACGAACGCUGGCGGCGUGCUUAACACAUGCAAGUCGAACGGAAAGGCCCUGCUUUUGUGGGGUGCUCGAGUGGCGAACGGGUGAGUAACACGUGAGUAACCUGCCCUUGACUUUGGGAUAACUUCUGGAAACUGGGGCUAAUACCGGAUAUGAGCUCCUGCUGCAUGGUGGGGGUUGGAAAGUUUCGGCGGUUGGGGAUGGACUCGCGGCUUAUCAGCUUGUUUGUGUGGUAGUGGCUUACCAAGGCUUUGACGGGUAGCCGGCCUGAGAGGGUGACCGGCGACAUUGGGACUGAGAUACGGCCCAGAAUCCUACGGGAGGCAGCAGUGGGGAAUAUUGCACAAUGGGCGGAAGCCUGAUGCAGCAACGCCGCGUGCGGGAUGACGGCCUUCGGGUUGUAAACCGCUUUCGCCGGUGACGAAGCGUGAGUGACGGUAAUGGGUAAAGAAGCAACGGCUAACUACGUG